UAAACACGGUAGAUGUUGAUAUUAAAUAAAAACUAAAACAUAAUAUUAAUUUACUAACAAGAUUUGAGAUAGUUUAUAGAUAAUUAAAUUUUCUAAACAUGCUGAUAUGAGUUCCAGUUUAAUGUAUAAGAAAUUCUUAGGAAUUAAGCAACAACAGUCAAGAUACUCUUAAUUCGAAAACUGCGAAUCUUUGUAGACCAAUACUCUUACCCUUGCAGGUUCUAAACUGAUUGAAGAGUUAAAUUAUAUUGAGUUUAUAACCUUCACAAGUGAGAAUGCUGACAUGCAGAUGUCACAAGUUUGGGGAUCCGGUCAAAAUAAAAAAAAUUGAUAAAAUUUCAAGAACAAAGGCAGCGUUACUUCUCAACCAAUGCUGGAAACUACCGUCAAGAGCCCUAAACCUCUGUCUUCCACCGACGAUGAGUCCUUCUUACCGAAUGAACUGAUCUUGGAGAUCUUUCUUAGGGUUCUGGUGAGAUCCCUGCUGCAAAUCACGGAAAACCCUAAUUUCCGAUCCCCAAUUCGCCAAGGACCACCUACACCUACGUGCCUCAAUCGCCGAUCCAAACAUGACCCACCUACUAUUGGUCUCUCCCAAAUAUAGUGACCCCUCCAAAAUCUUAUCUUUCUCGGUGCAAUCGCUGUUCCAAAACCCGUCAACCCCUGCUGAAGGCCGUUGCUUCAGGUUGAGACGCAGUUGCCAAAUUCUAGGUUCUUGCAAUGGCUUACUGUGUUUGUUUAAUGUUCAUACACGUUAUGUCAAAUUGUGGAACCCUUUCACCAGAUUGACGUCAUUCCAAAGAUUGUCAAUCUGGUUAUACUCGUGAUGCGUAUUUUACUUACCAUGGUUUUUGCUACGAUCACGUGCAUGACAAGUACUAGUUGCUAUUAGUUGUGACAGAUUUGUUUGAAACUGUGGCCAAAGUAUAUACCUUUGGUGAAGAAGAAUAUUCAGGGAAAAGGCUUCAGAAUUUCCCAUGUCGACCCACUGUGAGACUGGGGAAAUUUGUUAGUGGCACACUUAAUUGGAUAGCUGAGGGGGCUGUAAGUGAUGAUCGAUGCGUGAUUCUUUCCCCUGAUGUUGGGACGGAACAUAUGGCCAAUUCUCGCUGUCUAAUUCGGAUGGUGACAAUCAUGUGAUAGAUGUCUUGCGUGACUGUCUUUGUGUUUGUUUCUAUGAGCUUAAGCAAGGUAUUUGGGCUGUGUGGAUGAUGAAGGAGUAUGUGUUCAAGAUUCUUGGACUAAAUUGAUGGCGACCCCUAACAUUGUUAUGCCCACUUCGAACCCGAUCACGCCCGCUCGUGAUCAACAGGAGAUUUGUAGAUGGCACUUCUCACUUGUCCUCUUGUACCUUUCAGAAGAUGGUGUCGUUUUGGUCAAAACUAUGGUUUCCAAAUUAUUUCUGUAUAACUCGAACGAUGAAGGGUUUGAUUUUCCUAGGAUCGGGGAAGAAUUUGGGUUCAAUUAUCUGCAUCUUUAUCAUGAAAGUUUGGUUUCACCAAGAUGUUAAAAUCACAUUUGUAGACUCUUUUCUGUUGUGCUUGUAGGAGAUCUGAUUUAAACAAGUCUACCUUUUGCUUCAGAAAUUUUGUGUUUAAUUUGUAGGUUGUCCCUGAUGUGAGUUCCUUCGGUGAAGCCUCAUCCAGUCAUCCUACCAUAUUUCAUAAUAUUAUUAUAGAGAAAUAGGUUGAUAAUUAUAUAUCAGUGAUGGAUACAUUGGAAGUCUCUACUUCAUAAAGAAUUCAUGUGAUAUGUUAUUCCUUUUCUAUUCUUUCA